GAUGAACGCUGGCGGCGUGCCUAAUACAUGCAAGUCGAGCGAACGGACGAGAAGCUUGCUUCUCUGAUGUUAGCGGCGGACGGGUGAGUAACACGUGGAUAACCUACCUAUAAGACUGGGAUAACUUCGGGAAACCGGAGCUAAUACCGGAUGAUAUUUUGAACCGCAUGGUUCAAAAGUGAUAGACGGUCUUGCUGUCACUUAUAGAUGGAUCCGCGCUGCAUUAGCUAGUUGGUAAGGUAACGGCUUACCAAGGCAACGAUGCAUAGCCGACCUGAGAGGGUGAUCGGCCACACUGGAACUGAGACACGGUCCAGACUCCUACGGGAGGCAGCAGUAGGGAAUCUUCCGCAAUGGGCGAAAGCCUGACGGAGCAACGCCGCGUGAGUGAUGAAGGUCUUCGGAUCGUAAAACUCUGUUAUUAGGGAAGAACAUAUGUGUAAGUAACUGUGCACAUCUUGACGGUACCUAAUCAGAAAGCCACGGCUAACUACGUG
rnacentral:rRNA from 1 species